rnacentral:rRNA from 1 species
AUUGAACGCUGGCGGCAGGCCUAACACAUGCAAGUCGAACGGUAACAGGAAGAAGCUUGCUUCUUUGCUGACGAGUGGCGGGCGUGUGAGUCAUGUCUGGGAAACUUCCUGAUGGAGGGGGAUAACUACUGGAAACGGUAGCUAAUACCGCAUAAUGUCGCAAGCCCAAAGAGGGGGACCUUCGGGCCUCUUGCCAUCGGAUGUGCCCAGAUGGGAUUAGCUAGUAGGUGGGGUAACGGCUCACCUAGGCGACGAUCCCUAGCUGGUCUGAGAGGAUGACCAGCCACACUGGAACUGAGACACGGUCCAGACUCCUACGGGAGGCAGCAGUGGGGAAUAUUGCACAAUGGGCGCAAGCCUGAUGCAGCUAUGCCGCGUGUAUGAAGAAGGCCUUCGGGUUGUAAAGUACUUUCAGCGGGGAGGAAGGGAGUAAAGUUAAUACCUUUGCUUAUUGACGUUACCCGCAGAAGAAGCACCGGCUAACUCCGUG